rnacentral:rRNA from 2 species
UUCUGAUUAUUGAAAGGUGCUUGCAUCUUGAUUUAAUUUCCCAACGAGUGGCGGACGGGUGAGUAACACGUGGGUAACCUGCCCUUAAGUGGGGGAUAACAUUUGGAAACAGAUGCUAAUACCGCAUAAAUCCAAGAACCGCAUGGUUCUUGGCUGAAAGAUGGCGUAAGCUAUCGCUUUUGGAUGGACCCGCGGCGUAUUAGCUAGUUGGUGAGGUAACGGCUCACCAAGGCAAUGAUACGUAGCCGAACUGAGAGGUUGAUCGGCCACAUUGGGACUGAGACACGGCCCAAACUCCUACGGGAGGCAGCAGUAGGGAAUCUUCCACAAUGGACGCAAGUCUGAUGGAGCAACGCCGCGUGAGUGAAGAAGGCUUUCGGGUCGUAAAACUCUGUUGUUGGAGAAGAAUGGUCGGCAGAGUAACUGUUGUCGGCGUGACGGUAUCCAACCAGAAAGCCACGGCUAACUACGUGCCAGCAGCCGCGGUAAUACGUAGGUGGCAAGCGUUAUCCGGAUUUAUUGGGCGUAAAGCGAGCGCAGGCGGUUUUUUAAGUCUGAUGUGAAAGCCCUCGGCUUAACCGAGGAAGUGCAUCGGAAACUGGGAAACUUGAGUGCAGAAGAGGACAGUGGAACUCCAUGUGUAGCGGUGAAAUGCGUAGAUAUAUGGAAGAACACCAGUGGCGAAGGCGGCUGUCUGGUCUGUAACUGACGCUGAGGCUCGAAAGCAUGGGUAGCGAACAGGAUUAGAUACCCUGGUAGUCCAUGCCGUAAACGAUGAAUGCUAGGUGUUGGAGGGUUUCCGCCCUUCAGUGCCGCAGCUAACGCAUUAAGCAUUCCGCCUGGGGAGUACGACCGCAAGGUUGAAACUCAAAGGAAUUGACGGGGGCCCGCACAAGCGGUGGAGCAUGUGGUUUAAUUCGAAGCAACGCGAAGAACCUUACCAGGUCUUGACAUCUUUUGAUCACCUGAGAGAUCAGGUUUCCCCUUCGGGGGCAAAAUGACAGGUGGUGCAUGGUUGUCGUCAGCUCGUGUCGUGAGAUGUUGGGUUAAGUCCCGCAACGAGCGCAACCCUUAUGACUAGUUGCCAGCAUUUAGUUGGGCACUCUAGUAAGACUGCCGGUGACAAACCGGAGGAAGGUGGGGAUGACGUCAAAUCAUCAUGCCCCUUAUGACCUGGGCUACACACGUGCUACAAUGGAUGGUACAACGAGUUGCGAGACCGCGAGGUCAAGCUAAUCUCUUAAAGCCAUUCUCAGUUCGGACUGUAGGCUGCAACUCGCCUACACGAAGUCGGAAUCGCUAGUAAUCGCGGAUCAGCACGCCGCGGUGAAUACGUUCCCGGGCCUUGUACACACCGCCCGUCACACCAUGAGAGUUUGUAACACCCGAAGCCGGUGGCGUAACCCUUUAGGAGCGAGCC